rnacentral:misc_RNA from 1 species
GAUGUAUUGAAAUGCAGCUUUGGAGACCAGAAUUGCAAUCCUUAACUUCUCCUGAUUGCUCCGUCGUAAAGCUUCAGCCUCGUGACGCUUUGAUAAAUGGGCAGUGAAGCGAAACCUUCGCCUUGAAUUCCUUACGAUCCCACAUAGCUCCCUCCAUUGCUUCAACUUCUGCUCAGGGGAGUACUUGGACUUCACUUGCCCAAAGUUUUCAUUCAAGUACCUCUCCAUCACGAUCUUUUUCUCUUCUUUCCUUUUAUUCUUUAACCAAUAUCUUCUGCAAAAAACUAAUUUGAAUUUUUGUUAGGCCUUUGCCAUUUUC